GCUCGACCUCAAAUCAGGUAGGAAUACCCGCUGAACUUAAGCAUAUCAAUAAGCGGAGGAAAAGAAACCAACGGGGAUUGCCUAAGUAGCGGCGAGUGAAGCGGCAAGAGCUCAUAUUUGAAAUCGCACCACCCUGCUGCGAGUUGUAUAUUGCAGGUGGAAGAGUCUGCGUAGGCCGGUGUCGAAGUCCCUUGGAACAGGGCGCCACUGAGGGUGAGAGCC
rnacentral:rRNA from 1 species